UACGUAGGGGGGCAAGCGUUGUCCGGAAUCAUUGGGCGUAAAGCGCGUGUAGGCGGUCCGGUAAGUCCGCUGUGAAAGUCGGGGGCUCAACCCUCGAAAGCCGGUGGAUACUGUCGGGCUCGAGUGCGGAAGAGGCGAGUGGAAUUCCUGGUGUAGCGGUGAAAUGCGCAGAUAUCAGGAGGAACACCAAUGGCGAAGGCAGCUCGCUGGAACGGUACUGACGCUGAGGCGCGAAGGCGUGGGGGAGCGAACAGG
rnacentral:rRNA from 1 species